rnacentral:rRNA from 1 species
UACGUAGGCAGCAAGCGUUGUUCGGAAUUACUGGGCGUAAAGAGUGUGUAGGCGGUGCUCUAAGUCUGUCGUGAAAUCUCCCGGCUUAACUGGGAGGGUGCGGCGGAAACUGGAAUGCUAGAGGGUGGGAGAGGAAAGCGGAAUUCCUGGUGUAGCGGUGGAAUGCGCAGAUAUCAGGAGGAACACCAAUGGCGAAGGCAGCUCUCUGGUACAUGAUUGACGCUGAGACGCGAAAGCGUGGGGAGCGAACAGG